rnacentral:rRNA from 1 species
AGUUUGAUCCUGGCUCAGGAUGAACGCUAGCGGGAGGCCUAACACAUGCAAGCCGAGCGGCAUUGUUUCUUCGGAAAUGAGAGAGCGGCGUACGGGUGCGGAACACGUGUGCAACCUGCCUUUAUCUGGGGGAUAGCCUUUCGAAAGGAAGAUUAAUACUCCAUAAUAUAUUGAUUGGCAUCAAUUAAUAUUGAAAGCUCCGGCGGAUAGAGAUGGGCACGCGCAAGAUUAGCUAGUUGGUGAGGUAACGGCUCACCAAGGCGAUGAUCUUUAGGGGGCCUGAGAGGGUGAUCCCCCACACUGGUACUGAGACACGGACCAGACUCCUACGGGAGGCAGCAGUGAGGAAUAUUGGUCAAUGGGCGAGAGCCUGAACCAGCCAAGUCGCGUGAAGGAAGAAGGUUCUAUGGAUUGUAAACUUCUUUUGUAAGGGAAUAAAAAGAGUUACGUGUAACUUAUUGUAUGUACUUUACGAAUAAGGAUCGGCUAACUCCGUGCCAGCAGCCGCGGUAAUACGGAGGAUCCAAGCGUUAUCCGGAUUUAUUGGGUUUAAAGGGAGCGUAGGUUGACAUAUAAGUCAGCUGUGAAAGUUUACGGCUCAACCGUGAAAUUGCAGUUGAUACUGUAUGUCUUGAGUGUACAAGAGGUGGGCGGAAUUCGUGGUGUAGCGGUGAAAUGCUUAGAUAUCACGAAGAACUCCAAUUGCGAAGGCAGCUCACUGGGGUACAACUGACACUGAGGCUCGAAAGUGUGGGUAUCAAACAGGAUGAGAAUCCCUGGUAGUCC